rnacentral:lncRNA from 1 species
GUGUAAAUUAGAUCCAAAAAAUUAUAGACCGAUAACUUUAUUGUCGUGCUUGGGGAAAAUAUUUACAUCUAUUCUUAACGACAGGUUGGGGGUUUUCGUUGAUGAAUUGAAUAUAUUAAAUGAAAAUCAAGCCGGCUUCCGACAUGGGUACUCUACAACAGAUCAUAUUUUUUCUUUAUAUGCACUUUUUGAACUUCUCAGUGUUAAAAAGAAAAAGCUUUUUUGCGCUUUUGUAGAUUUUGAAAAGGCGUUUGAUUUUGUACACCGAAAUUCUUUAUUAUAUAAACUCCUUUUGAAUAAUGUAAAAGGAAAG